CCUACGGGAGGCCGCAGUGGGGAAUAUUGCACAAUGGGGGGAACCCUGAUGCAGCGACGCCGCGUGGGUGAAGGAGUAUUUCGGUAUGUAAAGCCCUAUCAGCAGGGAAGAACAAUGACGGUACCUGACUCAGAAGCACCGGCCAAAUACGUGCCAGCCGCCGCGGUAAUACGUAUGGUGCAAGCGGUUUCCGGAUUUACUGGGUGUAAAGGUAGCGCAGGCGGCGCGUUAAGCCGGGUGUGAACGUCCGGGGCCCAACCGCGGGACUGCAUUGGGAACUGGCGCGCUUGAGUGCCGGAGGAGUAGGCGGAAUGCCUAGGGUAGCGGUGAAAUGCGUAGAUAUUAGGAGGAACACCAGUGGCGAAGGCGGCCUACUGGACGGUGACUGACGCUGAGGCUCGAAAGCGUGGGGAGCAAACAGGAUUAGAUACCCCUGUAGUC
rnacentral:rRNA from 1 species